GAUUUCUGGCUUGAAACAUUAAGCCGGCCACGGUUUCGUGUGUUAGUGCUUGAUGUUCUGGCCAUCCUUCCAAUUGCUGCUUGCCUUUCUUCAUUGAUAGGUGGGUAGUAUUGGAUCUUUUACUUUGAAAAAAUUAGAGUGUUUCAAGCAGGCAUUUUUGCUAUGAAUACAUUAGCAUGGAAUAAUAAUCUAGGACUUUCGGUUCUAUUUUGUUGGUGUUCUGGAGCUGAAGUAAUGAUUGAUAGGGAUAGUUGGGGGUGCUAGUAUUCAAUGGCCAGAGGUGAAAUUCUCGGAUUCCUUGAAGACUAACUUAUGCGAAAGCAUU
rnacentral:rRNA from 1 species